GAACAAUUUUCAACUAUUUAUACCAAAAAAAAAACAAAUAACAAGAGGGGGAGACAGGUUACUCUGUCUCACUAACAACAAUAGCAGCAGGUCCACGACAAAAUUACUUAGUCAGCAAUUUCCAGAUGGGUUACUGAGGCCGCUUCUAAAAUCUUCCGAGCAUCUUCAAGCUUGUCAGCAAUUUCCAGAUGGGUAUAUCCUUGUUCAGCGAGGUUGUCUUCAAGCACAACAAGCUUAAGAUGGAUUUGGCGCUUGCCUUCAUGCUCCAGCAUAACCUUAUUGGGUUUCUUGGUGAAAACUGCAGAGCCCUGGUCAGUCUGAAAACCCUUGGUGCUAUGAUCAACCUUAGCAGUCCUUGGCUUCACGAAGAAUUUGUUGGUCUGUAUAUAAC
rnacentral:misc_RNA from 1 species